rnacentral:misc_RNA from 1 species
GGAACUCUUUUCUCUUAUUCCAGCCACGGAACUUUUUCUGGAUUUGAAUGGCAGCCGCAUGAGCUAUGCCAUUGUUUUGCCCCAAUUUACAAGCUCUAGAAGCUACAAUAGCAAUAGCAUUCUCAUCAGAUGAUAACUCAUUGUCACAAUGCUCAAUAAUUUGCUUCCUCUGAAAUGACUGAACCCUGAAAAUUUGAUGUAUCCGAGCAGCUGCUUGAGUAGCAUUGCGUAUAGCAGCCAGAGAAUCCUUGAGUGAAAGUACAUCUGGCACAUCAUUUUCAGUAGUUGAAACAGCCACGCGCUCUGUAACUGUUUCUCCAACUUUUGCUUCACAAACUUCUGAAUCAAGUUCUUCCUUUGCAUCAGUCACAGUAAGCUUAGAAAGGUGAGUAGUCAAAGAAGAUUCAGCAACAAAUCCAGAUAUUCCCUUGUGUCCAUUGGCAGAUGCCAAAUCAGCAGGGGUUCUACCCAAAGGAAAUUCAGCAGAUGGGUCUGUCAAAGCUCCAGGAGAUGCACCUAAAGAGACAAGACUAACAACAGUCUUCUCCCUUCCAUAGAAUGCGGCCCAAUGAAGUGCAGUCCAUCC